AGGGUUUGGGAUCAUGGGCUCAGAACGAACGCUGGCGGCAGGCCUAACACAUGCAAGUCGAACGCUUCAGCAAUGAAGAGUGGCAGACGGGUGAGUAACGCGUGGGAACCUUCCCAGUGGUACGGAAUAGCCCAGGGAAACUUGGGGUAAUACCGUAUAAGCCCUUAGGGGGAAAGAUUUAUCGCCAUUGGAUGGGCCCGCGUCGGAUUAGCUUGUUGGUGAGGUAAAAGCUCACCAAGGCGACGAUCCGUAGCUGGUCUGAGAGGAUGAUCAGCCACACUGGGACUGAGACACGGCCCAGACUCCUACGGGAGGCAGCAGUGGGGAAUAUUGGACAAUGGGCGCAAGCCUGAUCCAGCCAUGCCGCGUGAGUGACGAAGGCCUUAGGGUUGUAAAGCUCUUUUGGCGGGGACGAUAAUGACGGUACCCGCAGAAUAAGCUCCGGCUAACUUCGUGCCAGCAGCCGCGGUAAUACGAAGGGAGCUAGCGUUGUUCGGAAUCACUGGGCGUAAAGCGCACGUUAGGCGGAUUUGUUAGUCAGGGGUGAAAUCCCGGGGCUCAACCUCGGGAACUGCCUUUGAUACUGCAAGUCUUGGAGUCCGGAAGANGUGGGUGGAAUUCCUAGUUGUAGAGGUGAAAUUC
rnacentral:rRNA from 1 species